rnacentral:lncRNA from 1 species
CCUUUCAAACAAUAGUAUUUUUGGAACUUUACCAUCUUGUUUUAGUCCAGCAUCUAUCGAACAAGUUCAUUUGUCGAAAAACAAGAUAGAAGGACGGUUGGAAAGUAUAAUCCAUGACAGCCCCAAUUUGGUGACAUUAGAUCUCAGUUAUAACCGCUUACACGGAAGUAUUCCAAAUCGGAUUGACAGACUACCUCUGUUAAGCUACCUUCUUUUAGCUAAUAAUUAUAUUGAAGGCAAAAUACCAGUUCAAUUAUGCCAGUUGAAGGAAGUGCGGUUGAUUGAUCUUUCUCAUAAUAAUCUAUCUGGUCAUAUUCCUCCUUGCUUGGUUAACACUUCACUCAGUGAAGGUCAUCAUGAGGCAAUAGCUCCAACUUCUAGUUCGCGGGAUCAAGCGUCUGCCUCUGUACUUCCAUCUGAGGCUCCAAAUGGAUCUCCGAUGGGAAAGGAAGAAACUGUACAGUUCACAACAAAGAAUAUGUCCUACUAUUAUCAAGGAAGAAUUUUGACGAGUAUGUCUGGGAUUGAUCUUUCUUGUAACAAACUGAUAGGUGAGAUUCCUCCUCAAAUUGGAUAUCUUACAAGGAUUCAUGCGCUAAAUCUAUCUCAUAACAAUUUGACGGGCACAAUCCCGACAACAUUUUCAAACCUGAAGCAAAUCGAAAGCUUGGACCUCUCCUACAACCUAUUGCAUGGGAAAAUCCCUUCUCAGCUCACUGUGCUAACUACAUUGGCGGCCUUCAGAGUAGCAUACAAUAACUUAUCAGGCAAAAUUCCGGAUAGAGUUGCACAAUUUUCAACUUUCGAGGAAGAUAGCUAUGAGGGGAAUCCUUUUCUUUGUGGAUGGCCACUGUCUAAAAGUUGCGAUGAUAAUGGAUUAACAACAGUGACAACAGAAGCUUACACUGAAAAUGAAGAAGUUGAUAGUUUAAUUGACAUGGACAGUUUCCUGAUCACUUUUACAGUAUCUUAUGGAAUUGUGAUAUUAGGAAUUAUUGGAGUUUUGUACGUAAACCCCUAUUGGCGGCGAAGUUGGUUUUACCUUGUUGAAGUAUGUAUGACCUCUUGCUACUAUUUUGCAGCAGACAAUCUUGUUCCUAGAAAAUUCUAUGGUGGAUGGAUGUAAUUUCAUUACAUUACAACUUAUAUGUAAUUUUCAAAGAAUUUUCUUUUGCAUGCAUGGAAUAGCAACUCAAUAAAAGUAUUUGAUGCAAAUUGUCCAAGAACAACUUAGUAAUUUCAUUGCUACUAUUCGGUUGUAUGUAUACAGUUAAUGAAAUUUUUAACCAUUCGCAGAAUACCCUUAGGAAUUUCUUUAGAUGGCGGCAAAAAACUAAGAGAUUCGGGGCUCUACACGGUCUGAAUGAAGAUUAACUUAAUGCCCUCAGGAUUAUGUGUAAGUUCUCUUUUAAAUUUAAGGGGUUGAGAUUUCAGGUCCGGAUGAAAGUUGAAUGCAGGUGACGAGACUUCACUGGGACAAACUUAAAAUAAAAAAUUAUAGUCCACAGUAAGAGCAAUGGGUAGCUUAACUUAUGGAAGAUAACUAGAACUUGGAAUAACUUAAAUUAGCUAUAAAAUUAAGACCAUUAUACAACUAAAAAGAAAGAAAAAUUGUUUGCUACUACAUAUCAAAACUAGUAAUAGCAAUGAAAGAUGGCAGACUUCUUACUUAAACAGAUGAGAGGCUACAAAUAAAAAAUUUGUGCAAAUAAAUAUAUGAUAAAGAGCAUAAUACUUUCUUGGGGGCUAAAAAUAAUAUACAACUUGUGAAAUAUAAAUUGAGCUACCGUUACCUUUUAGAUGUGGCAACUUUCGACUUUUGAGGCACUUUGGAAUAUGCAUUCAGAAUCCUGCAUUUGGAAGCCAAAUAAAUAAUGUUAAUAACAAUUUUACAAUAGAAAAAUUAAAAAUUGAUAAAUGGCAGUUGUAAUUUAUGUAUGUGUAAAGAUAGCAUCACAUCCAGGGUCCUCCCAUAAACAUGCUUGUAACAAGAAUUAGUUUGCCUCAACUGCUAGCAACUAUACAAUAGUAAAAAUCACUCUUAUGAACUCAACAAUACUAGGCACCAAUAAGAGUAUGAUACAGCCAUUCUAAAUGGAAGAGAAUACAACUGUUUUACAACUAUGUUGCAUCAGGAGAUAUGUUAGGAGUUUUAAUCCAGAUACCUUCCAACCCAAUUAGGAAAACUCGAGUCAGAAACCAGGAGCUGCAACCGAACCUUACAAUCUUGAAGGAAGAAGGAGACUUGGGGCAUUUUUCUAGAUAGGUGACUUACUAGAUCUACUGCCAAGAAAAUAUCUAUUGCUUUGAACCUCCAUUGAAAUUUCUUUUCCCUUUUUCUUAUUUUGACUUGGAACUUUCCAGCAUCAUCUAUUUGAUCUUUUUUAAAGCUAAAAUAGCAAUCUACGGGUUGUCAACAUCUUAUCCCCCCCCCCCCCCCCCGAGGGGCCCCCAAAAAAAAAAACAUCAAUGAGUUGUCAAUAAAUAGCGCCUACUCAACUUAUGUUCUCCAAUGGAUGACAAUGUGCAAAUCGACCUAGCAGCCACAUUUUUCCCCCCUUUCAACCACCAUUAGGCAACUUUUCUAACCUUUCUUCAUUGCCCACGUCUACAGAACUAUCAUAUAAAGACUACAAGAUAGACGCACGGUAUCUAAAUAAUUGUACCAACCCCCUCUCCUGAUUGUCAUAAAACGGCCAAUAUUUAACGCUCGACAACAAAAUUGCAAAUACUCUAGCCUCUAUAUUAUUGGCAUAUAAAUAUUUUCGGUUAGGUACAUUAUAUUCUUCGUUCUAAAACCUCAAUUAUUAGCUAGUACUGUGAUAAAAUGAUUCAUCACUGAAAUUAAAACUAGUUCACGUACAAAUAAUCAAAACUGAAAUAGAAGCAACGAUAAACCAACCUGUAUUACGUCGAUUCAUCACAACAAACUGAAAUCGAGGCUGUGUGUUCCUGAAAAUUGAAAAAAAUAAUAAUUUCACCAACUUCAUAUGUAAUACAAUCUCCAAAACACUGAAUAUCAAAUGAAAAAAUGGAAAGCAUAAGAUAGAAAAGAAUCUAAUUUUAUUGACCUUUUGACGACGACGAGAGAGCCUUCAACAUCCUUACGACUCCAUUGGCUGAGGUCGAUGUUGAACUCGUAGAAGGUGACAUGAGCGGCCGUGAUGAGGAUCUCCUCAAUGAAUGGAUCGAUUCGCUGAAGAACUGUCAGGUUCAGGAGUUUUGUGCUCUGCUGGUCCAGAUUAAGCAUCAAUUUUCCGUUAUGCGACAUUUUUCAUAGUCGUUUUGGGCUCUGCCCCGAGCACAAGCCCCAGGGUUUUUCUGUGAGCUCUCUCUUUUGUAAAUAAAGUGUUUGAUGAGAUAGCCGAGAGAGAGUGAAAGUGUUGAACAGCCAAACACGGUCUCGAGAUUGAUCUUCCUUUAACUUCUUUUAAACAUUUGGGAAAUAGCAUUUAUUUCUUUUAGUUUCUCUACUUUUUUUUUCCUUUAUGUCAUUUAGACCCCAAAAUUAGAUUUAUUAUAAUCCUAUUUUACCCAUACACUAUUAACCCCUUUUAUUUUUAAAAUUUGUCAAUAUUAAUGUGUUAGAAUAAUGUUAAAAAUCUCAAUUAUUAUCUCAAUGUUUCAAUCAUAACUAAUGUGAUGACUCAUUGGUAACUGCAACAUUAACUUAAUUAUUAAUGUAACACAAUAAAAGUUUGCCACUUCGGCAUUGGUCGGAGUGGUGGGAUGCUUGUGAGGGCAGCGGUUCAAGCCCCCACAAAAGCAUUUGUGGGGGCUAACGUUGUGGGGGCUAACGUGCUUAUUUGUUUAAUAUUUCAAAAAUUUCCUCUCCCUCGUGCAAUACGAGUGGAGUAUGGACAUCCCUCUUCUGUAAGGGAUUAUUUGUCUGGGCAUGUACUUCACAGAAUUCAAUGUAAUAAUAUAAGUCCCAAUCAUGUAUUUCUGAUUGUAAAUAUCAGUGUAAUAUAUCUGCUGUUGAUGCGAGAUUCUGGUUCUCCUCGUUCUACGACCAGGAUCUCUGCUCGAUCAACUUUACCACGACCAGGAGGUCUCCUAGUAAUGCUUCUUCUCCAGAUGUCCCUGCACACACAGACAAGUCAGAGUACGCCGGUUGUUCUCCCGGCGCAAACCCUCCGACGCUCAAGUCAGAUAUGAAGGUUCGGGGAACGCUUGCCACAGGUCUUAUGGCUUUUUCGUGGUUUUCUCUUUUAUCUUAAAAAUGCUAACCCUUUUACCUUCGUUGGCUACCUUUUUAUAGGCUUCUCCGAAUCCCCGUUUUCCGCUUUUUGCCAGACGGUAUGGGACUCUGACUGCUGCGUCAUGGGCGAAGGUGGGAUCUUGCGUGUUACGCCACGGUUCUGGGGAAAGCGUGGCUGUCGUGCCUAGAUUCUCGGGCUGGAGAGCAUGUCUUGCCAACUGCCGUCGACCGGGUCUCCUCGCUUCUCGACCUCUAGCCGGAAUGAUCUUAUGCCUCUUACAGGAAAUUGACCUCGCGGAUGACGUGCUCGUGGACGAGCAGGAUAUUUCUGCUCCUGUUCCCCCGCGCAUCAGGCUUUUACGGAACACACCGGCUCGAGGAACUCUGCCCCCAGAUAUCUGCUCACCAUGCCUGGUCUCGUCGACGUAUUUCUCCUAAACACCGGUCCCCCAGUUUCUGGUGUUGGGUAAUGUAGUGGACCAGCAGUAGAAACUCGAUAGUACUCGCUCACGUGGGACUGGAAAAGGCUGCCAAGAGUCGUGUCGCAUUUAAUUGCGGACGGGGUGACGUGGCGAAAAUCCCCCCCUCCAUUUGAAUUUCAAACCGACGGUUAUGAGGCCCUCGGGAUUCGGCGCUGUUAAAUGCUGGCAACCCAAGAGUCCGUCCCCAUUAGAAAAACCAAAUCCUCUCGAACGGCAUAUUCAUCAUCCACUACGUCUCCGUCUCUGUCUCUCCGGCAAAGAAGUUCCGGCAUAAAAGUCCUCCAUCUCUGAUUUUCACCGACUGAACCAUUACUUCAGGUAUUUCUUCUAUCUCCUUGGCCUCGGAUAGUUGUAGAUAAUUUCUCUUUUCUUCUGUUUGGGUAGUAGUUGGUGGUGUUGUGGUUAGAGCUUAGGGAAUGUCGAAAGGCAAAGAGAAGGUCAUUGAGGUUGACGACGACGAGUUGGACUUCCUGCCUAGUCUGCUCACCGACCCUGCUUUUGACCCCGGGAUUCCCUUAGAGCCCACUAGGUCUAGUGUCGGGACUAGUGCUAGGAGGAUGUCUCCCCAAACAACCUCUACGAGCGGAAGUAGUGGUGAGGAGAGAUCUUCUGACUCUGAGGAUACGUUGAGUGAGAAUGGCGAAGGUGAUUCUGGUGAGGUGUCUCCAUCUAGAACAUCACGACCAGGAGAACGGGGUACAGUAGGAGGCAGAGCCUUGUCGCGCGAUUAUGCCAUUGAUUACAUGACGUGCACGACCUCGUUUGACGAGCUCAAGGACCUCCGGCUUAGGUAUAGCAUUCCUGGUGAGAUACCUCUCAAGGUCCCAGGAAAGAAGGAUGCUCCCAGCCGGCCUCCUAGGGGAUACGUUACCCUGUUUUUAGAGAGCUUUAAGUACGGGCUGAGGUGUCCCUUGCAACCCUACUUUGCCCGGAUACUUAACGGGCUAAACCUAUCUCCUGGUCAGCUGAAUCCCAAUGGGUGGAGAGUGCUCUCUGGUCUGUUCAUAUUGUGGGACAGAUGUUGCCAGAGCGAGCCCACGGUUGAUGAGGUGAGACACCUGUACCAGCUAAAGAGCAGCCCCAAAGAUGCCGGCUGGUACUACUUCCAAUCUAGCACCAAGAGCAGGAAACCUAUAACCGACCUCCCCACUGGUGGUGGUGGGAAUUGGAAGAGAAAGUUCUUUUUUGCUGGGGGUCCUUGGGGUCAGGUUGCACAAAUGAACGGGAAGGAUUAUCGGGUCCCACCCCGUUUCACGGUCCCAGGUUGCCUGCUUGCUUUUAGAUGUCUUGUAUCCAUAAGUGUUCUUGCUUUAUUGGCUUGUCUCUAACCAAGUGUCUGUUUGUGUUGUAGUUUCUUGGGGUGUUCACUUCCCGCUCCCACCCGACCAGCUCAAACGGGUCGAGGAUGUGCUCGCCAAUUCCUGCUCGAGCCGGGAACUGUUAACUACGUACAACUUGCUCGAGUCUCGCUUGAUACUUCCUGGCCAUAGGAUGGAGGACGCUGUGAUUGGGGCUCUGACCCGAAAACGUUCUCGACCCCCAACCACGAAGAGGGACCAGAGUAAGGAUGCCCCUGUGGCAAAGCGGGCCAACAUCGUGCAGCAGGUCCCACCCUUGAAGAUUUUACCUCCUGCUCCCGUAAAAAUUGGGGAAGCUGGUGGAGCUGCCACAGAUCCUGCUUCCUCUCCUCCUCCUGUCGGGCCCCGAUCUCACUUACCUGACAGCCGAGCAGAACAUCUGGUCCUCUACUUCAAUGAGUUAACUAAACUCGUGAGCAGGAAGGAUCUGGAGGACUUUGACGGCCGCACCUUGGGUGAGUUGGUGGGGGCCAUGCAGCAUAGCGCUUUCCACCUCAGCUGCAUGACCACCUAUUACAAGGCUAAGGUUGGCCGCUAUGACCGGAAGAUGAAGGAGGAUAUUCAAUCGGCGACGACCAGAGCUGACGUUGCCGAGAAGAAAGCAGGGGAGCUGAAUCUCGAGAAUCUGAAGCUGAUGGAGCAAGAAUCACUUGCUCAAGCAAAAGCCAUCGCCCUCGAGGAGGAGCUUAUCAAGGUCAGGGAGGAUCUGCAAAGGCAGAAGACAAUGUAUGAGGCUCAGCUCGAAUCUCUUCGCGACUCCCACCGAGCUCAGGCCGAGAACUUGGAGAGGGAGGCCGACAACCAGUACGACCAGGGACUUCGGUAUUCCUAUCGUUGCAUCAUGGCCGUCCUCGGGAAGCAACACCCUGAUCUGAAGAUGGGUGACCUUGCGGCUGGUGUUGCUCAACAUAUGGACGAGGAGGCGGCCAAGGAGGAUGCCAAAGGGGUAGAGCCGAUCGUGAUAGAGGAGGAAAACUCUCCUCCUCAUGUAGUCCCUGCUGAUGUUGGCGAGGCGAGCACCCACCCCAAUGCCUCUAGUGAUACCCCUCCUGCACCUGAGGAGGUCCAGCCAACCGAUGCCGCUGGGCUCACUGAUCCACCAUCUUCUUGAUAUAUUUCUUGUAUUGUAAUGACAAUGUUUAUGAAGAUUAUUCCCUCUGUUAAUUAUUAACAAAUUAAUAAAAAUGUUUUUGAUCACCUUCUUGUGUCGUAAUUACGAAUUAAUUUUCGUUUGAGAAUCUGCUUGUCUUUGUCUAAACGAGCAGGUUCCGGCUUGGCUCAUGGUUUUGCCACAUGCCUUUGAAGAUUUUUCAAUGCUUGGGAUUCGGUUUGCCUUCGCGCAGUUGAGCAGAUCCUGGCACGCUUGGCUUCUGUCUCGCCAUAAGAUAGGCUUUGAGACUUGACGAGCCUUUGCAUGCCUUGGAUUCUUCAAAGCUCAGGAUUCUGCUGCCUUCUCGUGGCCGAGCAGAUCCUGGCAUGCUUGGCUUCUGUCUCGCCAUAAGACAGGCUUUGAGACUUGACGAGCCUUUGCAUGCCUUGGAUUCUUCAAGGGUUGGGAUUCUGCUGCCUUCUCGUGGCCGAGCAGAUCCUGGCAUGCUUGGCUUCGGUCUCGCCAUAAGACAGGCUUUGAGACUUGACGAGCCUUUGCAUGCCUUGGAUUCUUCAAGGGUUGGGAUUCUGCUGCCUUCUCGUGGCCGAGCAGAUCCUGGCACGCUUGGCUUCUGUCUCGCCAUAAGACAGGCUUUGAGACUUGAUGAGUCUUUGCAUGCCUUGGAUUCUUCAAGGGUUGGGAUUCUGCUGCCUUCUCGUGGCCGAGCAGAUCCUGGCAUGCUUGGCUUCUGUCUCGCCAUAAGACAUGCUUUGAGACUUGACGAGCCUUUGCAUGCCUUGGAUAAUUUCUUGGUUUCAAGCGUAAAAUUGCUUCAUUAAUGGCAGGAUUCGACUUACAUAAAAUUGUUUGGGACAUAAAGCGUAAAAGAUAAACGAUAAUGAGCAUGAGCAGAAAUAGCUCUCAAAUGUGAACAAAUCUUACUGGAAGUAUUUUCGGAGGUGUGCUGCGUUCCAUGGGCGUUUCACCUCGUGGCCGUCCGCGCGAACCAGCCUGUAAGCUCCGGGUCCCGCUAUCUGCUUGACUCUAUAUGGCCCUUCCCAAUUCGGUCCCAGCACUCCUUGAGUCGAAUCUUUGGUGCUCUGAUUCACUCUUCUCAGUACCCAGUCUCCGACCCUGAAUUGCCGUAUGUUCACCUUCUGGUUAUAAUACCGAGCAACCCUCUGUUGGUAAGUGACUGAUCGCUCGGCUGCUUGCUCCCUCCUUUCCGUCAGCAGAUCAAGAUUCAAACAUAUCUGCUCGUCGUUCUCCUGCUCAUUGAAAUGAUCUGUCCGGUGUGUGGUCGUUCCUAUCUCAGCCGGCACGACCGCUUCGUGUCCGAAAGCCAAAGCGAACGGUGUCUCCCCCGUUGCGGUUUUGUGGGUUGUUCUGUAUGCCCAUAGCACACCUGACAGCUCGUCAACCCACGCACCCUUUUUUGCACCAAGCCUGGUUUUCAAAAGCCUCUUGAUGGUCUUGUUGGCUGCUUCUACUUGUCCAUUCGAUUGAGGGUGAGCAGGCGAGCAAUACUUCAGCUCUAUCCCGAGGUUCUGGCAGAAAUCCCUGAAGCUGUGAUUAUCGAACUGCCUGCCAUUAUCCGUUACCAAGGCAUAAGGGAUCCCGUAUCGACAGACCAGGUUUCUCCACACGAAGUCUGUUGUUUUCUUCUCCGUGAUCCUGCUAAGGGCUUCCACCUCUAUCCACUUCGUGAAGUAAUCUAUAGCAACUAUUGCAUGUGUUGCUGCUCCUCGUCCUUUUGGCAAUGGGCCGAUCAGAUCAAUUCCCCAUUGAGCAAACGGCCAAGGGGAGGCCAUAGAGGUGAGCUUCUCUGGUGAUUGGUUGGAGAAAUUUACAAAACUCUGGCAGCUUGCACAACCCCUGGUCUUCUUUUGCGCAUCCUGGUGCAUUGUCGGCCAGAAAUAUCCCUGCCUUAGGACCUUGUGGGCCAGGGACCUCCCGCCAGAAUGAUUUCCGCAAAUUCCUUCAUGUACUUCUCUCAGCACGUAAUCCGCGUCGUCGUCAUCCAAACACCGAAGGAACGGUAAUGUGUAUCCUCGCCGAUACAGUACCCCAUCGAUCAUCGUGUAUCUCGAGGCCUGAGCUCUAAUCUUCCGAGCUCGCAGCUUAUCUGGUGGUAAUACCCCGUCUCUAAGGUAUGAAACUAUCGGGUCCCUCCACGAGCAUUUUUGUUCUAUCCGCAACACCCCCAAAUUCUGCUCGAUACUUGGGCUGGACUUCACUUCUAGAGGGACGGACUUUGGCAUUUUUGGGUCGGCUACUGCUGCCAUCCUAGCCAAAAUGUCUGCUCGACUAUUCUGCUCCCUGGGGAUUUGUAUCACCUCCACUGCUUCGAACUUCCCCAUCAUCUGCCUGACUAUCUUCAGGUACUGUUCCAUCUUCUCCUCUCUUGGUUGGAAUCUUUCACUGACAUGAUUCGCAACCAGCUGGGAAUCAGUUCUGAUCUUAACUCUGUCUGCUUUCACGGCCCUAGCCAAUUCCAGGCCUGCUAUCAAGGCUUCGUACUCUGCCUGGUUAUUUGUGACUGCAAAUUCCAACUUUACAGCAUAAGAGAUCUCCUCCCCCUCUGGGCCUUCCAGGACAAUCCCUGCUCCUGAACCCCGCUCCCCUGAUGACCCAUCUACAGACAUCUGCCAUACUUGAGUUUCGUCAUUGCCUAUAACUGCAUCUUGUUGACCUAAGCAUGUUUCGGGCUCUGUGAAUUCAGCUACGAAAUCGGCCAUUGCCUGGGCCUUUAUCGCUGCGCGGGGUUUAUAGUCUAUGUCGAACUCGCUCAGCUCUACAGCCCACUUGACGAGCCGCCCAGAGGCAUCUGGCUUGUGCAGAGUCUGACGCAAUGGCUGGUCUGUUAUUACCGAGAUCGGGAAGGCUUGAAAAUAUGGCCUCAACUUCCGAGCAGCAACCACAAGGGCAAGUGCCCAUUUCUCCAACGGUGGGUACCUGGUCUCAGCGUCGAGCAGGGCCUUGCUGGUGUAGUAUAUCGGAUACUGAACUCCUUCUUCCUCUCUCACCAGAACAGAACUGGCGGCCCGAUCCGAUACCGCCAAAUACAGAUACAACUUGUCCCCAUUCCUCGGUGUGGACAGCAGCGGAGCUUGCUGCAAGUAUUGCUUCAAGUUCCGGAAGGCUUCCUCGCAUUCUGGGGUCCAUUCUGUUUUCUUUCCCCUCCUUAUCACUUGAAAGAAUGGCUGACACUUAUCUGUAGCUUUGGAUAUGAAUCUGCUCAACGCCGCCAACCUCCCCGUGAGGCCCUGCGUCUCCUUCAGGUUACGAGGAGACGUCAUUUGCACAAUCGCCUGGAUUUUCUCGGGAUUUGCUUCAAUCCCCCUAUGGCUCACCAUGAAUCCCAGGAAUUUCCCUGACUCGACCCCAAAAGCACACUUCUCCGGAUUGAGCUUCAUCUUAUACUUCCUCAAAAGCUCGAAUGUCUCCUCGAGGUGUCUGACAUGUUCCUUCGGGAUCUUGGACUUGGUGAUCAUGUCAUCCACGUACACCUCCAUGGUUUUCCCGAUCAACGGCUUAAAGACUUUGUUCACCAGCCUUUGAUAGGUGGCCCCAGCAUUCUUGAGACCGAAUGGCAUCACCCUGUAACAGAACAAACCUUGGUUAGUGAUGAAAGCCGUGCUCUCCUCAUCCUGCUCGUACAUGGGGAUCUGGUUGUAUCCCGAGAAUGCGUCCAUGAAGCUAAGCAGACCAUGUCCAGCUGUUGAAUCUACUAGCUGAUCGAUCCUUGGUAAAGGGAAGCUGUCUUUUGGGCACGCCUUGUUGAGGUCUGUGAAAUCCACACACAUCCUCCACUUGCCGUUUGCCUUCUUUACCAACACCACAUUUGAUAUCCACUCUGGGUAACUGACUUCCCGAAUGAACCCUGCUCUCAGGAGCUUCUCCACCUCGUCAUUUACAGCCUCAUACCUCUCCUGGUUGAAGCACCUCCUCUUCUGCCUUACUGCCCGAGCACCUUUCUUUAUUGCCAGCUUAUGACACGCUACCUCAGGGUCAAUCCCUGGCAUGUCUUCAUGUGUCCAGGCAAACACAUCAGCAUGAGCCUGUAAGCAUUUCACCAACUCCUGCUUUUGCUCUCCCUUCAGUCUCGACCCGAUUCUGAUCGUCUUUCCCGGGUUCUCUGGUCCCAUGCUUACCGUUUCCAGAUCCUCUACAGGUUCUUGUCUGCCAGUCUUGUUUUCUACUCGGGUAUCGAAGGAUGUUAUCUGCAUUGCCUCCCUUGCUGCCGAGGAGUAGCAGCUUCUUGCGAUCCUCUGGUCUCCUCGUACCACUCCUACUACCCCAUUCACCCGGUACUUCAGAGCCAGAUAAUGGUUGGACAAUACCGCUUUGCUCAUCCUUAAAAACGGCCGACCUAGGAUCAUCUGGUAAGGACCUUCCUCAUCCACUACGACAAAGUCCAGUAUCAUUGUUCUUUCUGUUAGGGGGCUCCCAAUUGUGAUAGGUAGUUCGACCACGCCCAGGGGAACCAGCUUCCCUCCUCCGAACCCCUUCAAGGAGGUGUUGGUGUAUUCCAACUUCCGGUCGGCUAUUCCCAUCUCUUCCAGGGUUGACUUAAAUAACACAUCAACUGAGCUCCCUGUAUCAACCAGUAUCCGGUCAAACUUCUUGCUAGCGACCGUAGCCUUGAUGACUAAGGCAUCCUCGUGGGGGUAUAGGAUCCCUUCCUCAUCCUCAUCCGUCCACAUGAUUGGCACUUGCCUGACCCUUGCCCGUUUGGCUGCUGGGGUGUUGAGGAGUACCUCUUUACUGGUCAUGGCGUACCUAGCAUAAUUUUUUCUCGAUCUGUUUGAAUCUCCGGCCAACGUUGGGCCCCCCGCUAUCACCCUUACUGCGGGCUGCUCGUGCCUCAAGAUUCUAUCACUCUGCUCCCCUUCAUCUGUUGUGGCCACCAUCGGGAAAGUCCCAUCCAUAAACUCGUCCAGGUACCGAUUUCUCACCAAAUCUUCGACUUGGGUCUUGAGAUCUCUACACUCUGCUGUGGUAUGGCCAUGGGUGCCAUGGAACUUACAAUAACGUCCUCUAUCCCUCCUGUUGGGUAGCUUUGUUAUUGAUGUAGGGAGGUGCAGCAGCCCUCGAUCCUUUAUAGCCUCGUACACCUCAUCCAGGGACAUCUUCAAGGGAGUGUACCGCCCAUAGUCCUGGUGCUGGUCGAUCCGAUGUACUGCUCUUUCUCUGUUUGUCCCGCUCUGAGUUGGGGGCGGUAGAAGUACUUCUGGUCUGCUCGUCCUGCUACCGUGGGAAUGUUGAUGAAGACCACCAGAUGCCGGAUCAUUUCUUGUCCAAGGUUCCCUAGCUGGGGAACGAGGAGGUUGCGCCCUGCUGCGCUGAUACUGUGGUGGCCUCUGAUGAGGCUGGUAAGCAGUGACCCUGCCUCCUGCUCCACUACCGGAGGCCUGGUGGUCCCUCCUCCUGAUCGGCCCGUUCCCUGGUAAUGCUUUCAUCUCUCUCCUCCCCAACCCUUCUAUCUGGUCUGUCUUGAUCCGUGCAGCCUUCUCCUCUUCAAUCUCGAUGUCUCUUUUAGCCUGUUCGUAUGCGGCCGCAUACGUUUGAAUAGCUGGGCUUCUCAAAUUGUACCACAGCCUUCCUAUCUUCACCCCUUCUUUCAAUCCCCUUAACGCCUGAGGGUGGUUGAAGGCUCCCAAGUCGAGGACAGCCCGAUGAAACCUCUUGAUGAAUUCCGGAAGGGUUUCUUGCUCCCCCUGUUUCAUGCUUUUUAGCUCCAUCAUGUCAUCUUCCGGUGACAUUGCCCUACUGAACUGCUCCGCGAAUUCCUGGCACAUCUGCUCGAAGGUUUUAAUGCUGCCCCGAGGAAGUUUCAUGUACCAUUCUCGUGCACGUCCCUCAAGGGAUAGUGGGAACACCCUGCACCUUUGGGAUUGAGAUAAUCCUUGUACCCCAGUUAUGUCGUUGAAGCGCUCUAUGUGCAUCAGCGGGUCAGUUCUUCCCGUGUAUCUGAAGUCGGGGAGGCGGAAAUCUCUCGGAAUAACUGCCCUCAUGAUCUCUGCUGCGAGCGGUGAUUCUCCGUCCAGCAUUAUCCUCCAACCAGGGGCUCUGUUCCUCCCUUGCAUAUCGUCAAUUAUCUGCGCUAGUCUGCGCACUUCCUCCUCCAGCUGCCCUGCACGACCAGGGUCACGUGCUGCAACUUGAUCCCGCUCUUGCUCUACAUCUUGCAAGUGUUGCCUCAACUCGGUUUCCUCUGCAUUCACCACCCCGUCGUCCGCGUCACAAGUCUGUCUUGCCGGGGACCGCUCUCUUUCUCUAUGAAAUUCUCCCCGUAGAGGUGCGUUACCUCUCUCACCACCAAAUCUCCCUGUGGUUUGACUUCUCCCCGCACUAUCGGGACCUGGUGCCACUCCACCGCCUCUCACCCUUCCCUCUUGAGUUACCCUUCGCUCGCUCCGUAGCUCAUGCAGGAUGGUUGUCAAGGUCUCCAUCUGCUUUUCCAUCCGUUCCAUCCGGUCGAACAUGACUUUUCCCGUGCUUCACUGACUAUCUCCCUCAGCGUCACGAAAUCGUUAAGCCUCAUAUCACCCCCUUGUGCACUACUUCCUCCUGUCUCCAUUGCUUUUUGCUUACUCCACCCCUCUUCUUGCUAUCAACAGAAGCUUUUUGCUCUGGGUCCCCACAGACGGCGCCAAAAUGUUGAUGCGAGAUUCCGGUUCUCCUCGUUCUACGACCAGGAUCUCUGCUCGAUCAACUUUACCACGACCAGGAGGUCUCCUAGUAAUGCUUCUUCUCCAGAUGUCCCUGCACACACAGACAAGUCAGAGUACGCCGGUUGUUCUCCCGGCGUAAACCCUCCGACGCUCAAGUCAGAUAUGAAGGUUCGGGGAACGCUUGCCACAGGUCUUAUGGCUUUUUCGUGGUUUUCUCUUUUAUCUUAAAAAUGCUAACCCUUUUACCUUCGUUGGCUACCUUUUUAUAGGCUUCUCCGAAUCCCCGUUUUCCGCUUUUUGCCAGACGGUAUGGGACUCUGACUGCUGCGUCAUGGGCGAAGGUGGGAUCUUGCGUGUUACGCCACGGUUCUGGGGAAAGCGUGGCUGUCGUGCCUAGAUUCUCGGGCUGGAGAGCAUGUCUUGCCAACUGCCGUCGACCGGGUCUCCUCGCUUCUCGACCUCUAGCCGGAAUGAUCUUAUGCCUCUUACAGGAAAUUGACCUCGCGGAUGACGUGCUCGUGGACGAGCAUGAUAUUUCUGCUCCUGUUCCCCCGCGCAUCAGGCUUUUACGGAACACACCGGCUCGAGGAACUCUGCCCCCAGAUAUCUGCUCACCAUGCCUGGUCUCGUCGACGUAUUUCUCCUAAACAUCUGCUAUAAUAGCAGUUGUAAAUAUAUGUGUAAUGCAGUAAUAUGAUGAUUAAUCAGUAUUCAAAACACAAUAAAAGUUUCGUACAGAUUUUGAUAUUGAGAGUAACACAAUAAAAGUUUCAUACAGAUUUUGCAAACGAAAAGCACAUAAUACACUUAACUAGGAGGAAAAAUUAAGGUGUAUUUAUUACAAAUUGCUAACAAUAUACAAUUGUAAAAAUCACUCUUAUGAACUCACAAAUACUAGGCAGCAAUAAGAGUAUGAUACAACCAUUCUAAAUGAAAGAGAAUACAACUGUUUUACAACUAUGUCACAUCAAGAGAUAUGUUAGCAGGAUUAAUCCAGAUACCUUCGAACCCAAUUAACGAACUCGAGUCAGAAACCAGGGGCCCCUAACUAAACCUUACAAUCUUGAAGGAAGAAGGAGACUCGUGGUCCAGAUAGGUGACUUACUAGAUCUCCUGCAAAAGAGAAUAUCUAUUGCUUUGAACCUCCAUUGAAAUUUUUUUUUCCCUUUUUCUUGUUUUGACUUGGAACUUUCCAACAUCAUCUAUUUGAUCUUUUUUUAAGGUAAAAUAGCAAUCUAUAGGUUGCCAACAUGUUAUUCUGCCAAACCCCACCCCACCCCCCCGGGGGACAACAAAUCGACCUAGCACACACCUUUCUUCAUUGCCCACACCUACAGAACUAUAAUAAAAAGACUACGUUACUAUUGGGGUAGAGAAAAUAUACAGACUGUAUUAUUAUUACAUCGCAUUUUACUAAUUAACUAGUGCAAGACUUCUUUAGUGUCAAAUCAAGAACUAAUUAGAAAAGACAACUCAUGAUAAUACAGACCUUAAUAAGCAAUUGCUAACAACAUCCCAUAUACUCCUAUUUUAGCCUUCAUUAUCCUGGUAAAAACACAAAUAAGUCUUGCAAACGAACAUUUAUAAGUAAAUUCAACAUUAAUUAAGAUUAGGUAUCUACUGCACCUAAUAGCAUGGUCAACCAUCUAGUUCCUGUAGCCUUCCAUGUACCUAUGUUAGUUACAUUUUACAUAUUAAGCCACGAAAACGAAGAAUCACAGCCUGGUAAAGAAAGACAUUAAUUAAUAGUUUUUGUUUAAAAAGUUCUCCUUUAGAUCUUUCCUAUUCAAUGAAUCAAUGUAAUCUAAAGAGAACUCUUCCAUUUCAAACAGUGUUAGAAGGUAUUUGCAAAGCCUAAAGAUAAUAUACAAGGACCAAGAUAUACACAGAUGGUUUCUUUAUGGAAUUAAAGAGCUUUAUAGAUGUUAAAACUGUUUCAAACAAUUUUUCUUGUUUGGUUUAACUAAGGAAAAGCUUGUGGAAGAUUAAAAAUGAUGUUUCCUAUUCUCUGUAGGAAACUUUUAGGAGAUUUUUUGGGCUUUUUUGAAAGGUUGAAUUGUCAAAAAUACCUUGAUGUUAUUGUUUGCUAAAAGAUGUUACGGACAUCUAAACAACCAACAACAUUUUGUUAAAAGCUCUACUAGUGUAGGAUCUACUUAAAGAAGCUAUACCAAACAGACUCUUAGACUGAAUAACUCGAUCUUAAGUUUGUAAAAUUGGGCUCAGAAUCUCCACUAACAACCCCGCUUCGGUGAGAAAGCCCAAGCCUGUUACUUUGUAUAACCUUAUUCUGUAUGUUUGAUUGCAGGAACUGGCCGAUCAUACCGACGAGGUGAGUGUGCAACAUGAGGUGCUUGACGGGAUGUUUACUUUCUAUGAUUCAACUAAAGCUAGCCUCAACAUAUAUCAGGUGCCUGCUUGUUUUUACCUUCUAGAUACUAAUAUUGUUUAGACGUGUAAUCUCUCUCUCCAUUGAACGCUAGACGGCUCGUCUCAAGCCUUCUACGUACUUCAGAGUCCUUCACUAGCUUUUUAUGUAUAAAGUUUUGAUCUUUUUCCUUCAUUUGCUUGAAGCUCAUUACUGCAGAUUUUUUUUACAGGUUGGUAGUGUAACAUUCGACUUGCUGUUGCUUCUAGUCUUGGGAUCGUAUUUAAUUGUGCUUUUCAGCUUUCUUGUCAUAACAACUAGGGUAUCACUCUUUCUCCAUAUCAAGCUUGAAGUUCUAAAUUUCAGUUUUAUCUUGUAUUUGAUGUUUUAUAAUUUCAUUGCAAACAGAUUAGAAUAGAAACUUCAAAAGUUCCAACUGACUAGUCCCGUGUAACUUUUUCAGGGAAGAUUUUCUCUCAUAACAACUACGAACGUGUUAUGGUUUAGCCCAGUGACACAAAGGACAGUUUUCAACAAUUGAUCCUAGGAAGAUGCCCAUAGCUUGUUGUGCCAAAAAUAGAAAAUCUAAGAUGCGAAAAAAUUUUGUUGAGAUUCAUUUUUCAUCCUGAUGUUACCGCUGGCCUUUUUUUUUUUUUUUUUUGGCAGAGAAUAAUGCUUAUGUGAUUUCUGAACUUGGUGAUUGUUGAAAUGAGCUGAAAAUGAGCUGGAAAUGUGUUUGGUUAAUGAGAAAGAGAGCAAGAAAAUGAAAGAAAUCUAUUUCACUUUUUAUUUAUCAGCAUGAUUACAUUCACAAUGAAUCUAAGCUGCUAUUUAUACUUAAAUGACUACACACGAGAAUCUUCUUGCUAGAUACUUCUAGAAACUCUACACGCACACUCACACUGAGCUAGUGGUUACCAAAACCGUUACAACGAUAUUGCCAGCUCAGCAUAACCAACUUAUAACUAACACACUCAGCUGCAGGGGAAACCAUCAAGCUUACUGUGCGUCCUCUGUAAUCAAGCUUCUUUAAGCAUGCUCUGCAGAUCAUACGUCUGAAUUAUCGAAACAAGAUGAAUUAUUUUUUGUUUAUUGCAGCAGGCGAUCAAUGAGCGGAAUUUCUAGCUUGUAUUCAAUUCGCGAACACAGUUUGAGAAGAAUCAGACCAUUAAUUUUCUUUUGAGCCAAUCAACAGAAUGUACAUUUCUUCUAAGAACUUGUAACCGAAACCGCAGUUUUUCAGGUUUGCUCCUUCCUCAUAGCAGUUAAUCAAACGAUAAACAGAGAUAUCCCAUGUCAACAAGAAGGUAAUCAUAAAAGAACAACAGAAUUGUUGCAACAUAUUCAUAUGAAAUGUAAAACAAUUUUGAGAAAAAAUAUUGGGAAGAUAUUUUUUUUUCAUAGAAGUUGCAAUCUUUACGUUAUUUACUAGUUUGACUAGACUAUAUAAGGAAGCUAUAUGAAAUUAGAAAAAUAAGCUAUACUAGGAAAGAAUAAAUAUGUGUACAGAAAAUUAGGCUAUAAUUUUCAAAUUAGAUGCCAGUUAAUUUUAUCAUAAUUAGAUGGUAAGAUUGCAAAUUCUGCAGCCAAAGGUGGUACGGAACUGAAUGAAGGAAAUCAAAUAUGAACAUGUUUUCAAUCUUAAAAUAUUAAGAGUAGCAUAAGUAACUUGUGAAACAGUUAUAAGUUCAAGGGAAUUAGAUGAUGGCAUGGUUGAAUUUUAUAAAUAUUUGAUAUUUUGGACCGAACAGGGCAAACAGAUGGAUCCAGAUAAUCAAGAAAAACAUCAAUUCCAUGCAACCAAAUGAGUCUAGUCAAAGAAAUUAUUCAAAGAAAUCUCUAGGUCAGUAUCCAAAUAUAUGGCUCCGUCCGUUCCACCACCACAACCAAAAAAAUCAGAUCCCCCCAUUUGGAUUCGAUUGAUUAAUUUGAGCAUAUAAAAUCGGGUUUUAAACUUCCCUAAUCAAAAUUUAUAUUCCACAGAAUCAGUUCCUUUAACAUGAUGCAUUACAUAAUAUUUUGUUUGCAAAAUAAAGAAGAAAGAUGACAUAAUAGAAACACGCUAUUGCAUCUUUUGAAAAAGAAAAACGGAAUAGUUUUCCAAAAUUAAUUCCGAGAAGAAGAUUAACUAAUAAUGAUGUUAGAAAUUUUAAUAUUUGAGUCUUAAUAUUAUGUAUCACUCAUUUAUUAAAUAAUAGAUUUCAUAAUUUGUAAAAUUACUUAACCACUUGAUAAAUGUUAUAUUUGUUGGGACUAAAUUGGAACUUAAAUGUUGGAAUAUCUAGUAUUGCAUUAAAAAAUAAAUAAAAACUUAACAAUUUAUCUUCACUUGACUAAUUGUUUUUACAUCACAACUAACCUUAAUUAUUUUGAAAGUUACAGUAUUAUUAAAUUGUCCUAACUGGUUAUCCAAAGUUGAAGCAUGUUAAAAUAAAAAAAAUUACUAAGAAACAUGUGCUUAAACAGAGGUUAAAGCUAUGAACAAUUAAGAAGAAACUCUUAAUUUGGUCCCAGUUAGUAUAAUAAUCAUCUAUUGAGCGGUAAAAUAUUAAUUUUAAUAGUGAUGAAAUCCAAUAAAUAAUAGAUUACUAACACACAUAAAUUAAAACUUAACUGUCUGAAAUCAUAACAUUACUCUACUCUUCAGUGGAGUUCUCUUAAACAGAUUAUGUGAGAUUGCCUACAUUAAAAAUAUGUUAAGACUGCUUGUUGAAAGCAAUAUUCGCUUUUCCAUUAUAUCCAUAACUUUGAAUUGAUAAAGUUGUAUUCAGCAGCUCUUGAAAAGACUAAUUUAUUUUAACUAGUCAUAGAAAUAAGAGAGAAAAGGGGCUAUUUCUUGACUCAAAGUCAAUUAUAAUUAUCAAAACUUGAGGGGACAUCGCAUGCCUAAAUUCCACGCACCCUAAUACGGUUUGAUUUGCUUUCACGCGUUCAUGAAUUUCCAUGAAAGAGCCUGCCUUUCGUCUCUUUCGGGACAGUGACUACAAUAAUGGAAAAAAUUAUAAUUCUCGUUAGAUUGUAACCAAAUUAUUAUCCCUAAUUUUUUUAAGUUACAUAUAAUAAAAUUCAUGCUUAAGUAUUUAGUAAUUAGAGAGAGAUAGAGAGGAUUGAGGGCCAAUGUUUCGCGAUUUGGGGUCAAUUCAAAGUCAACUAACGUGUAAAACACGUGUAUGCAUAGAAAACGCUUAGAUUAUUUGUGUUCCAAGAAAGAAAGAAGACCCAUCACCUUCUUCGUGACAACAAAUGAAUGAAUGAUGUUGAUAUGACAAAUACAAGCGCUAUUACAGGGAACAGCAUAAGAUCGAGACUUGAUAAAGGGUUUGUUAAAUUACAUGUUAUUUUCUUUUGACUUGAAUGAUGUUGAAGAGAAAAAUCAAAUAACAUUGUAAUCAGGGUGAUGUGUGGAAUAUAGUGAAAUAAAUAAAUAGAGAAGAGAAAUUCGUUGAUCAAUAUUCAAGAACUCAUCCAAAGUGAUCGUCAAAGUCUAGAGGUUCGGUAUGAUUAGCAUUUAUUAUUAUUUUUUUUGGCUUAACAUCAUAUAUAGUCACCUGUCGUGUGAUCUAGAACAGGUUUAGAAAUCCUUUUAUUUUAACUUCCGUAUUCUUAUUAUUUAAUUAGUUAUAGGGUUCUUCAGUAUUUGAGUAUUGAUCACAUGUCUCCUAAUCUAAAAAUAUGUUUUUACGAGUACAAAUAACAAACUAGGAUUUUAACAGCCUUUUAUACUAAACCCUAAAAAUACAUGAAUUUAUCAAAAUAAGUAAAUUAAUUUAAAUUGGUAUGGCAUAAUAAAAGUUUUACCUGCCGAAACAAAUUAAAAAAAUAUUACACUUAAAUCAAAUAUUGACAAAAAUAGAUAACAAUCUAAUGAGAAUCUUAACUAGAUAUUUUUACUUCUAUCCAAUUUAACUGGAACGAGAAUUAAGUCCUUUCAAUAGUUAGGACUCAUAACUCAUACACGCUAGUUUGAGAGUGUGGGGUGUGACAAUGGGCCAAAAGACCAUUGACAAGUACAAAAGAGUGGUCGCAAUUAAUUCAAACCGCUACACACGCUAUUGCGUCUUUUAAAAAAAAAAUGGAAUAGUUUUCCAAAAUUAAUUCAGAGAAGAAGAUUUACUAAUAAUGAUGUUAGAAAUCUUAAUAUUUGAAUCUUAAUAUUAUGUAUCACUCAUUUAUUAAAUAAUAGAUUUCAUAGUUUGUAAAUUUACUUAACCACUUGAUAAGUGUUAUAUUUGUUGGGACUAAAUUGGGACUUAGAUGUUGGAAUAUCAAGUAUUGCAUAAAAAUAAAAAAUAAAAACUUAACAAUUUAUCUUCACAUGACUAAUUGUUUUUACAUCACAACUAACCUUAGUUAUUUUUUAAAGUUAUAGUAUUAUUAAAUUGCCCUAACUGGUUAUCAAAAGAUGAAAGCAUGUUAAAAUAAGAAAUUACUAAGAAACAUGUGCUUAAACAGAGGUUAAGGCUACGAACAAUUAAGAAGAAACAACUUACAAUCAAAGGUUAAGAUUAUGAACAAAUUAAGGAAGGUAUUGAGCAGAUAAAGGGACGAAAUCAUUGUCUGAAUUGCCGGUGACAAGAAUGCUUGUGUUGUGAAAAGAAACCUGAUGGUUUGUAAAUGGGUUGAAUUUUUUAUUCGGUCGCUCCAACUGACUUACUAAUGCCAAAUUUAUUACUUUGCACAGUAGUGUUUAGGAUCCUCAAGAUCAACUCUUAAUUUGGUCCCAAUUAGUGUAGAAAUCAUCUAUUGAGCAAUAGAAUAAGAAUUUUUCUAGUCAUGAAAUUCAAUAUAUAAUAUAUCCUUGACACACAUCGAUUAUAACUUAACUGUUAGAAUUCAUAACAUUACUCUACUCUCAAGGGGAGUUCUCUUAACAUAUUAUGUUAGGUUGCCUACAUUCAAAAUAUGUUAGGCUGCUCUUUGAAAACAAUAUUCCUUUUUCCGUAACUUUGAAUUGAUCCAAUAGCUCUUGAAAAGCACAUAAUAAUCAUUAUAAAUUUAAUCAAAGACUAAGCAGGUCUUCUUUCCAUUUGAUCACUCGCAUUUCAGUUAAGUUUGUCGUUUACUUAAAUUUUUCUUGCUUUCAAUUUCCACUGUUGUUUUUUUUUAUAUAAAAUAAUUUAUUUAAACUAGUCAUAGAAAUAAGAGAGAAAGGGCGCCAUUUCUUGACUCAAAGUGAAUUAUAAUUAUCAAAACUUGAGCGGACAUUGCAUGCCUAAAUUCCACGCACGCUAAAACGGUUUGAUUUGCUUUCACGCGUUCAUGAUUUUCCAUGAAAGAGAGUGCCUCUCGUCUCUUUCCGGACAGUGACUGCAAUUAUGUUAACGUGACGAAUACAAAACGUUAUUACAUACAAGAAUAAGUUUUUGGACCCGAGACUUGAGGGAGGUUCUAUCUAAUUCUAAAGAUUGUAACCAAAUCAUUAUCCCCAAAUUUUUUCAGUUAAAUAAAAUAAAAUUUAUGCUUAAGUAUAAAUAAUUUUUUAAAGUUAAAUAUAAAAUAAAAAAAUUCAUGAACUUCCUAGAAAGAAAGAAGACCCUUCACCUUCUUCGCGACAACAAAUGAUGUUGACAUGACAAAUACAAGCUCUAUUACAGGGAACAGCAUAAGACCGAGACUUGAUAAAUAUUAAAUAUAUAAAAUAAGUGGAGCAAACGAACAGAAUAAUAGAUAUUUUAUAAUAUUCUUCAUAAAAAUCCAUGUUUUGAGCCUGCCUAUAAGCUUAUCUAGUGAAGUCUGGGUAUCCGCGUUGCCCAAGGUUCCGUUUGAAUCCAGGCCGUGUAGAUGUUUAAGACAUCGCAUAUGGACGGAGUGGAAAUAUUUUCAGUUGACUGAAUUAAAUAAAAAUAUAUUACAAUCAUAUUAUAUAUUAGCAGCAAAAAUAAAAAGAAAUGAAGAAAAACGCAUGCAAGACUUAGACAAGUCAAUUAAAAGCUGGGAGUAUCAUCAGUUCAAUUGGUUAUAAAUAGCGUAGAGCCAUCCUCUCGUUGUUGCAGAACUGAAGCAAAGAGACUCAGAAAGAGUGUGUGUAGGUGAUUAUAAUUAAGAAGAUAUAAUGUGUGGUUCAAAAAGAGUGUGGGUGAGUGAGUUAAUUUUCAUAUUAUUAGUAGUAAAAGGGUGGUGGAGUGAGGGAUGUUUGGAGCAAGAGAGGUCUGCUCUCCUACAACUCAGACAUUUCUUCAAUGAUGAUCAACUUCUUCAAAACUGGGUAGACGAUGAGAAUUAUUCAGAUUGUUGUCAGUGGGAAGGGGUUGAGUGCAAUAACACCACUGGCAGAGUGAUUGAAUUAUAUCUAGGAUAUACUCGGAAAUGGGAAUCAGCAGAGUGGCAUAUGAAUGCUUCUCUGUUUACUCCCUUUCAACAAUUAGAGUCUCUUGAUUUAAGUUGGAACAAUAUAGCCGGUUGUGUUGAAAAUGAAGGUCCUUAAUUUACUUUAUUUUAAUUCUUCCUCCUCGUAAUUUCUUACAUCUAUCUGAUCCCUUUUGGCUUUUGUUUAAUUUGUACGUGAUACAAUAAAAUUACUUUUUAUUUUUUGUCAGGUCUAGAUAGGUUAUCAAGGUUGAAGUUUCUUUAUUUAGACUAUAACUGCUUCAACAACAGCAUCGUUUCAUCUCUAGGUGGUCUUUCAUCACUCAGAAACUUAUCAUUGGCUGGUAAUGAAUUGGAUGGAAGUAUUGAUAUUAAAAGUAAGUACGCUUCAACCCUUCUCCCCUGUCCCAUCUUUUGUAGAUCUUAUUUCACUGAGCAGCUGGAAGUAUUGAUACGAGAUCUAGCUAGACUCUUGUGAGUUUAGGCUUCAAGGCUUUGAAUAUUAUAAAAAUAAGUUAAAGAAAUUAUCGAUAUAUGCAAUUUUCAAUGCUUCUCAUAAUCAGACACAAUUCAAUCUAAUUAUUUCGUAUGUCCUGUCUUCAAAAGUAAAGAAUUGUACACUAAUUGGAAAUCGACAUCGUAGCUUUUUAUUUUCUAUAAUGCUCUUUUUUCGUUAACGAGUUUAUAUCCUAAGAGGGAUUGGAUUGAAAAAAAAAAAGUUUUGAUGUUCAAUGUAAGCCAUGAUAACCUGCAUCUUAUUUGUCUGCCGACAUCCAAAUUUGUGCACUGAAUUUAGUAUUUUGGUUAUUGUGAAGGGAUCAGAUAUUGGCUUCCAUAGACCAACUUGUAUUUACUUAAUUAAUUAAUUAACGACAUUUAGUAUUUAACAAAUUAAAAUUUCAUGUUUAAUCGAUUUUAAUUUUUUUAAGAAAAAAGAAAAAGAUAUAACAGCAUGUAAAGCUGAAAUAAAUUUUAAUUCCUUACAAAUUUAAAUUCAUGGUUGUCAGCUAAAUAUACCUGCUUAAAGCCACUCUUUUCGCUGAGAUUUAACCAAAAAAAAAAGGAGAAAAUAAUUUAUUUAAUUAACUCUGUUUUAAGUGUUGGAAUAAAUACAGGACUGGAAUCCUUGAGUAACUUGGAGAUGCUGGACAUGAGGGACAAUGCAAUCGACAAUCUAGUGGUUCCUAAAGGUAUACAAAAUGACACUAACCCAAAAUAAUUUAAUCCGAAAUUGUAUCCCAAAUAGAUUACAGAGGUUUGAGGAAGUUGGAUACCCUUUAUUUGGGGGGGAAGGGAAAUUGCAGUGAUAUAUGGAAGCAAGGUGUUGCAAUCAAUAAAGAAAUUCAUAGGGUCAAUAUUAAAGGACUCUCCUCCAACUCAAACAUUUCUCAAAUAGAUUAUUUAAUCUGAAAUAGUAUCUCAAAUAGAUUAUAGAGGUUUGAGGAAGUUGAAUACCUUUUAUUUGGGGGGGAAGGGAAAUUGCAGUGAUAUAUGGAAGCAAGGUGUUGCAAUCAAUAAAGAAAUUCGUUGGUCAAUAUUCAAGACUCAUCCAAAGUGAUCGUUAAAGUCUAGAGGUCUGCUCUCCUCCAACUCAAACAUUUCUUCAAUGAUGAGAAUUAUUCAGAUUAUGGUCAGUGGGAAGCGGUUGAGUGCAACAACACCACUGGCAGAGUGAUUAAAUUAGAUCUAGGAGCCACUAGGAAUCGGGAAUCAUCAGAGUGGCAUAUGAAUGCUUCUUUGUUUACUCCCUUUCAACAAUUAGAGUCUCUUCAUCUAAUUGGGAACAAUAUAGCCGAUUGUGUUAAAAAUGAAGGUCCUUAAUUUACUCUAUUUUAGUUCUUCCUCGUAAUUUCUUACAUUUAUCUGAUCCCUUUUGGCUUUUGUUUAAUUUGUACGUGAUACAAUAAAAUUAUUUUUUAUUUUUUGGCAGGUCUAGAGAGGCUAUCAAGGUUGACCAACUUGAAGUUUCUUCAUUUAGACUAUAACUGCUUCAACAACAGCAUCUUUUCAUCUCUGGUUGGUCUUUCAUCACUCAAACGCUUAUCAUUGGCUAGUAAUGAAUUGAAUGGAAGUAUUGAUAUUGAAGGUGAGUAAGCUUCAUCCCUUCUCCCGUGUCCCAUCUUUUGUGGAUCUUAUCUCAUUGACGGGUUGGAAGUAUUGAUACGAGAUCUAGCUAGACUCUUGCUAGUUUAGGCUUCAAGGCUUUGAAUAUUAUAAAAAUAGGAUUAAGAAAAUAUCAAUAAAUGCAAAUUUCAAUGCUUCUCGUAAUCAGACACAAUUAAAUCUAAUUAUUUUGUAUGUCCUGUCUUCAAAAGAAAAGAAUUGUACACUAAAUGGAAAUCGACAUUAUUGUUUGCUUUUGAUUAGUGGAUCAAAAAUCGACUAAUUUUGAUUUAACAUAAAAAUAAAAAAGAGAAAAUAAGUUAUUUAAUUAACCCUGUUUUAAGUGUUGGCAUAAAUGCAGGACUGAAUUCCUUGAGUAACUUGGAGGAGCUGGACAUGAGCGACAAUGCAAUCGACAAUCUUGUGGUUCCUAAAGGUAUACAAAAUGUUCAAAUAUUAAUAAUUUGGAGGACAGUUUAAUUGAUUUGAUUAGGGAAUGCCCAAUGACACUUACCCAAAAUAAUUUAAUCUGUAAUUGUAUCCAAAACAGAUUUCAGAGGUUUGAGGAAGUUGAAUACCCUUCGUAUAGGGGGAAGCAGAAUUCGAAUGAUAGAUGGAAGCAAGGUGUUGCAAUCAAUAGGAUCACUACCGUCCCUCAAAACACUUGACCUUUGGUAUACUAAUUUUACGGGAACAGUAGUUAAUCAAGGUAAGUAAAUCUUUUAUGUCGAAAAUAAUUGAAUUAAUAUAUAUAGCUAAAAUUUAUUGUUUCUACUUCUUUCUAAAUAGAGUUGCACAAUUUCACCAACUUGGAAGAAUUGAUAUUGCUCGGGUCUCAUCUCCACGUAAGCCAGCUUCUGCAAAGCAUCGCAUCAUUCACUUCGUUAAAGAAUUUGUCAAUGCCAGUUUGUACCCUUACAGGUGCCGUACAUGGUCAAGGUAAAUUACGGGUAUCUGAAGCUUUUAUGAUAUUAAUUCGAUAAUAAUUCUUUCUUUUCAAGUUAAUUUUCUCCCGUAAAAUAAUAUUUUUUUCUUUUAAAUUUUAUAUAUUUUCACCGUCCAAUAGAAGAGUAAAGAAAAAUAAGUAAAUUAACCCAAAAAAAAGAAAAGAACAAGACCGGAUUAUCCUUAUUCCCUUGCAUUAUGCGAUCAAUAUCAAAAUUAUAACCAUUUCUUGUUUAUUGCUUGUAGAUUUUCGUAAAUUCAAGAAUUUGGAACAUCUGGACAUGGGUGGGGUGCAAGUUGAUGUCAACACCAGUUUUCUUCAAAUUGUCGGCGAAUCAAUGCCUUCUCUUAAGUUUUUAUCACUGGCAGAUUCAAGUCUUAAUAAAAACACCAUUCUUGAUCAAGGUUAAUUAAUGAUUCUCAUUCUCCCUCUCUCGCAUCAUAACUAAAUUUAAUGGAGAAUAUCUAUAAUGCGAGCUAUUUAUAAACUUAAUGAAAGAUGAUAAGGAGCCAUAAUAAUGACAAAAAUAAUUGUAAAAUAGUGCACUGUUGUAGUGUUGAUUGAAAAAUAAUGCUAAUGUUUUACCUAACAACACUAUAACGUCGGAUAAUUUUUAAUAUGUACUUUAAACUAUCAGUACUCAAACUAUCAGUACUCAAACUUAAUUUUUAAUAUGUACUUUAAAGAUUUUAUGCAAUUAUUUAAGUUUUAUGCAAUUAUAUUUUUCAGGACUUUGUCGGUUAGUGCAUCUGCAAGAGUUAUACAUCAGCAGUAAUGAUUUGAGAGGUAGCUUGCCAUGGUGCUUGGCAAAUUUGACUUCCCUUCGAGUAUUAGAUGUCUCUUACAAUCAACUAACUGAAAACAUCUCCUCAUCUCCCCUCAUGCAUCUAACAUCUAUCGAAGAGCUCAUACUUUCAAAUAAUCACUUCUUCCAAAUCCCUAUUUCACUUGAACCACUUUUCAAUCUCUCAAAACUCAAGACUUUCGAUGGUGAAAUAUGCGCAGAAACUGAGUCACAUUAUAAUUCUUUGACCCCAAAAUUCCAACUGACUUCUAUCUCACUGUCUGGUUACAUAGAUGGUGGCACAUUUCCCAAAUUCUUGUACCAUCAGCAUGACUUGAAGAAUGCUGAUCUCUCACACCUUAACUUGAGUGGAGAAUUUCCAAAUUGGUUGCUAGAAAACAAUACAAACUUAGAGACGCUUCUUCUUGCCAACAACUCUCUUUUUGGAUCAUUUCGGAUGCCAAUUCAUUCCCACCAGAAUUUAGCAACAUUGGAUGUCUCUAAAAAUUUCUUUCAAGGCCAUAUUUCGGUGGAAAUCGGAACAUAUCUGCCAGGUUUAAUGGAUUUAAACUUAUCUAGAAAUGCUUUCAACGGUAGCAUUCCCUCUUCAUUUGCUGAUAUGAAAAUGUUGGAAAGGUUGGACAUAUCCUACAAUCAGUUGACUGGUGAAAUCCCAGAGCGCAUGGCCACAGGUUGCUUCUCAUUAGAAAUUCUUGCAUUGUCAAACAACAGUUUGCAAGGUCAUAUAUUCUCUAAAAAAUUUAGCUUGACAAAUUUGACGACGUUGCAGUUGGAUGGUAAUAAAUUCGCUGGAGAGAUCCCAGAAAGCUUAUCUAAGUGCUAUUUGUUAGAAGGAUUAUAUCUGAGUGAUAAUCAUCUCACUGGUGAGAUUCCAAGAUGGUUGGGUAAUUUGUCAGCUUUGGAAGAUAUUAUAAUGCCCAAUAACAAUCUUGGAGGGCCAAUUCCAAUCGAGUUUUGUCAGCUUGAUUCUCUGAAGAUUUUAGACCUUUCAAACAAUAGUAUUUUCGGAACCUUACCAUCUUGCCUUAGUCCAGGAUCUAUUGAACAACUUCAUUUGUCAAAAAACAAGAUAGAAGGACGAUUGGAAAGUAUAAUCCAUGACAGCCCUUAUUUGGUGACAUUAGAUCUUAGUUAUAACAGCUUACACGGAAGUAUUCCAAAUCGGAUUGACAGACUACCUAAGUUAAACUACCUUCUUUUGGCUAAUAAUUAUAUUGAAGGCGAAAUACCAGUUCAAUUAUGCCAUUUGAAGGAAGUGCGGUUGAUUGAUCUUUCUCAUAAUAAUCUAUCUGGUCAUAUUCCUCCUUGCUUGGUUAACACUUCACUCAGUGAAGGUCAUCAUGAGGCAGUAGCUCCAACUCCAAGUGGAUCUUCGAUGGGAAAGGAAGAAACUGUACAGUUCACAACAAAGAAUAUGUCCUACUAUUAUCAAGGAAGAAUUUUGACGAGUAUGUCUGGGAUUGAUCUUUCUUGUAACAAACUGACAGGUGAGAUUCCUACUCAAAUUGGAUAUCUUACUAGGAUUCAUGCACUAAAUCUAUCUCAUAACAAUUUGACGGGCACAAUCCCGACAACAUUUUCAAACCUGAAGCAAAUCGAAAGCUUGGACCUCUCCUACAACCUACUGCAUGGGAAAAUCCCUUCUCAGCUCACCGUGCUAACUACAUUGGCGGUCUUCACAGUAGCAUACAAUAACUUAUCAGGCAAAAUCCCAGAUAGAGUCGCACAAUUUUCAACUUUUGAGGAAGAUAGCUAUGAGGGGAAUCCUUUUCUUUGUGGAUGGCCACUGUCUAAAAGUUGCAAUGAUAGUGGAUUAUCAGCAGUGACACCAGAAGCUUACACUGAUAAUGAAGAAGGUGAUAGUUUAAUUGACAUGGACAGUUUCCUGAUCACUUUUACAGUAUCUUAUGGAAUUGUGAUAUUAGGAAUUAUUGGAGUUUUGUACGUAAACCCCUAUUGGCGGCGAAGAUGGUUUUACCUUGUUGAAGUGUGUAUGACCUCUUGCUACUAUUUUGUGGCAGACAAUCUUGUUCCUAGAAGAUUCUAUGGUGGAUGGAUGUAAUUUCAUUUACUUUACAACUUAUAUGUUAUUUUUAAAGAAUUUUCUUUUGCAUGCAUGGAAUAGCAACUCAAUAAAAGUAUUUGAUGCAAAUUGUCCAAGAACAACUUAGUAAUUUCAUUGCUACUAUUCGGUUGUAUAUAUACAGUUAAUGAAAUUUUUAAUCAUUCGC